GGGCGGUUAACUCAGUUGGUCAGAGUGCCAUCUUCACACGGUGGAAGUCACUGGUUCAAAUCCAGUACCGCCCACCA
rnacentral:tRNA from 1 species